UCCGAGUUGACCCCGGCAGUCUCCUGCGAGUCCCCGCCAUUACGCGCUGGCAACACAGGACAAGGGUUGCGCUCGUUGCGGGACUUAACCCAACAUCUCACGACACGAGCUGACGACAGCCAUGCACCACCUGUAUACCGACCACAAGGGGGGCCGUAUCUCUACGGGUACACGGCACAUGUCAAACCCAGGUAAGGUUCUUCGCGUUGCAUCGAAUUAAUCCGCAUGCUCCGCCGCUUGUGCGGGCCCCCGUCAAUUCUUUUGAGUUUUAGCCUUGCGGCCGUACUCCCCAGGCGGCGGACUUACCGCGUGAGCUGCGGCACCGGGGGGGUCGAUACCCCCGACACCUAGUCCGCAUCGUUUACGGCGUGGACUAC
rnacentral:misc_RNA from 1 species